UCCAGUUUCCCUGUCCCCGACCCGCCAAUGCUGACCUCCCUCCCUCCCUCCCUCCCCCGGCCAAGCUCCCCUCUCGACAGGAAGGAGAGACUGACCUCCCAUGCGACCAAGAACCGAGACUCGCCCCGAGAGCAUAGCAUAGCUUGCGCGCCGCCGCCGACCUCACCUCCGGCAUCCGAAGCCACCCGGUGCGAGCAGAUGCCACGUCUAGUCUAAGCCGAGAGCCAAGGUGGCUUUGCUCCUAUUAAAAGCUGCCAAGAACUGCGGCGUGUACCAGGAAAGAUCUUCGAGCGCGUCUUCGGGGCAUGCAUGGCGAGUGGCGACGAGGACUCGGGGAUGAGGUGCUGAGCUCUGCAGGUAGCGUGAGAUUCUGGGCGAUCGGCAGAGCGACGUGCCUUGGCUGUUGAUUCGGCUUUAUUUCUCUUCUUCCUCCAAGCCAGGUUCUUUCCCGCAUGCGUUUUUUUUAAAGCAAUUCCACCACUGUGCCCCUCUAGCGAUAGUGAUGCCCCCAUUGCUUGCCAAACAAAAGCGCCAGGCCGCCCAAAGCAGCUGAGAUCCGUGCGCGUGGUGACAUUAGCUACGUAACAUGGAUGGCAGCAACCAAAUGGUUGAGCUUUUGGCCACUCGUUCACUCGACACCUAUUCUACGCGUUCUUUUGUGGCAGGCAGACCAAAGCUGCUUUCGCGCCAUGAUAUGUUUAUAACUGAAGAAGAGAGUGAGAGAUAAAAUUGACAUAAAGGUAGCUUUUGCUGC
rnacentral:lncRNA from 1 species